UUACUCUAGAUUGCCUGGACUCCUUGCUGUGUAGGCCCUGUGCCCCGCCUUAUGCCCGUCCAAUUAAGUUCUUUGUUCUUUGCACUCUAGUUUCUUAGUUUCUUUUGUUUGACUUUUGUAGAUUCAAUAAAACUACUUAGUUUUACUCUUGGUUUCUGCUGCCUGGUGAUUCUUGACACAGCCACACCAAGCUGCUACUUCUGGGCACCUGAGAAAGUUAUAUGAAUGUGAUAAAUGUGAGUUGCUCCAGAUAAGGGCAUCUGCCAAAUGCUGUAAAUACAAUUAUAAAGACAAGCAGGGAAGAAGGGGUUUCUGAUAUGACAGCUCAGUGAGGUAAGGUGCUAGCUGUUGUCACCCUGUUGCAUAAAUCAGACUUCCUUUUUUGCAUUCCAAUCACCAUGGACAGCUCUCAUUGCCUCGGCCUGUAUGCAGACCUGCCGGCGAAUCGGCUUUGCCCUCUGGACGGAAGGAGGUUAGCCGUCAUUCUAGAUUAAUAGGCUCAUUUGCCAUUUUAACCUCGCCUGACCCUCUUUAACCCUUUCACACUGGACAAUGGUAUACACUCUGAUGUCAGUCACCUUGUACAAACGGUGUCAAUUUCAAAAUCCUGGUGUGCUGCCAUGGGGAAUUUGAAACAAUCUAUGAGAAAAAUCACAGGAAAUAGAAAUAGCAUAGUAAUGAUUAUUUUCUUUUUUUUAAUUAUACAAAAUCUAUUGUCUGGUAAUAACAGAAUAACAGAGCCAUAUGCAUGGGUAUAGGUUUUUAGAGACACUGAGAAUCUCAUGUCUUCCCAACACUUUUUUCGUAAAUUCUUUUUUUUUUUUCUCAUGAAUAAAGUUGGUCCCAGAGCUUACUAAAAAUA